UAGGGAAUCUUCGGCAAUGGACGAAAGUCUGACCGAGCAACGCCGCGUGAGUGAAGAAGGUUUUCGGAUCGUAAAACUCUGUUGUUAGAGAAGAACAAGGACGUUAGUAACUGAACGUCCCCUGACGGUAUCUAACCAGAAAGCCACGGCUAACUACGUGCCAGCAGCCGCGGUAAUACGUAGGUGGCAAGCGUUGUCCGGAUUUAUUGGGCGUAAAGCGAGCGCAGGCGGUUUCUUAAGUCUGAUGUGAAAGCCCCCGGCUCAACCGGGGAGGGUCAUUGGAAACUGGGAGACUUGAGUGCAGAAGAGGAGAGUGGAAUUCCAUGUGUAGAGGUGAAAUGCGUAGAUAUAUGGAGGAACACAAGUGGCGAAGGCGGCUCUCUGGUCUGUAACUGACGCUGAGGCUCGAAAGCGUGGGGAGCAAACAGG
rnacentral:rRNA from 1 species